GAUGAACGCUAGCGGCAGGCCUAACACAUGCAAGUCGAGGGGUAGCAGGAUUAGGCUUGCUUAAUUGCUGACGACCGGCGCACGGGUGCGUAACGCGUAUGCAACCUACCUUAUACUGGGGUAUAGCCCGGAGAAAUUCGGAUUAAUCCCCCCUAGUAUUAAUGAAUCGCAUGGUUUAUUAGUUAAAGCAUUGCGGUAUAAGAUGGGCAUGCGUCCUAUUAGCGAGAUGGUGAGGUAACGGCUCACCAUGGCUACGAUAGGUAGGGGGCAUGACAGGGUGGGCCCCCACACUCGGACUGAGACACGUACCGGAACCCGAGGGGGGGCAGCAGUGAGGAAUAUUGGUGACUGGGCGCAAGCCUGACCCAGCCAUGCCGCGUGCAGGAACAAUCCCCUAUGGUUUGUAAACUGCUUUUGUUUGGGAAUAAACCUCUUUACGUGGAGAGUGCUGAAGGUACCAAAUGAAUAAGCACCGGCUAACUCCGUGCCAGCCGCCGCCGUAA
rnacentral:rRNA from 1 species